rnacentral:lncRNA from 1 species
GGUUUUCUUACUGUUGAGUUUGAAGAGUUCUUUGUGUAUUUUAGUUAAUAAUCCUUUACACAUGUCUUUUUUUUUUUUUAAGAUUGACAUCUGAGCUAAUAACUGUUGCCAAUCUUUUUUUUUUUCUCUUUUUCUUCCGAAAUCCCCCUAGAAUGUAGUUGUAUAUUUUCGUUGUGGGUCCUUCUGGUUGUGCUAUGUGGGAUGCCACCUCAAUGUGGCCUGACGAGCGGCGCCAUGUCCAUGCCCAGGAUCCGAACCAGCGAAACCCUGGGCUGCCAAAGCAGAGCACGCGAACUUAACCACUCGGCCACGGGGCCAGCCCCCAUAGGUUAAGUAUGGGUAAAGGAAAUGUAUGUGGGUGCCAUGCUGACACAUGAUGAAGCCGUCACAGCGAUCAGUGAUGUAAGCGAUGAGUUCUUUAGUGAGUAUCAUUGUGUUGAUGGCCAAUGCAGCUUCCCUCAGCAUCAUCCUGCCCAUGGAGGGCCUGGGGUAAUGGGGAUCCCAAUGGUCCCUUCCCACAGUUCAGUCGGAACCAACUGAGUCUUUUAUGGCCAGGAAGGAAGUCUCCUAGCCCCCACACCACCAGGGCCAUGAGAGCUGCGGCCGCCAUCCCUUCCAAGAUGGAUGAGGUGUCUCAGGACCUUUCUGCUCACCUCUGAGAAGGAGGCCUGUCCUAGGGAGCAGGUGUGGAUCUGGUCAGGCCUCUUUGCUUCAUACCAUGCAGGACUGACACCUGACCCUUCUAAGUCAGCACCUUUCUUUUUUUUUUUUUUUUUUUUAAAGAUUUUAUUUUUUCCUUUUUCUCCCCAAAGCCCCCCAGUACAUAGUUGUAUAUUUCUCGUUGUGGUUUCUUCUAGUUGUGGUAUGUGGGACGCUGCCUCAGCGUGGUCUGACGAGCAGUGCCAUGUCCGCGCCCAGGAUUCGAACCAACGAAACACUGGGACACCUGCAGCGGAGCGCGCGAACUUAACCACUCGGCCACGGGGCCAGCCCCCUAAGUCAGCACCUUUCUGAUACCUACUAUGGGGCUUUAAGAAUGGUUAGUGGUUACUUUGGGGGGGGCAUACUGAGUAGGAGGGACAUGGGGAGCCAGCUAGGCAGCUGGAGAUGACCUGAACAUCUUGAUCUGGUAGGUGGUUCCACAGAGCCAUACACGUGUAAAAAUUUUAUUGAGCUGUUUAAAAAGAUAUGUGUAAUUUGAAAUGUGUAUUUUUAAACUCAAUUUAAAAAUAUUAUUUUAAAAUAAUUUUUCUAAGGAUGAAAAGAGGCCAAAGUAGGUAGUGCUUUAAAAGCAAGUGCUUCCGGUGGUGAUGGUUGCAGGACCUUACAAAUAUACUGAAAACCACCCAUUAUAUACUUAAAAUGGUAAAUUUUGGGGUGUUUGAGUAAUAUCUCAAUUAAAAAUUCCCACCAAAGUGACUCUGUGAUCUUUGCAAGUUGUUUAGCUUCUCUGAGCCUCAUAUUAUUCAUCCUAAACCCAGCUUGUUUUCUUACUAUGUCAGAGAAGGGGGAAUGGAUAUUGGCGACAAUUACCGUCUUGACUCUAAGUGGCCUGGAAGGUCUGGACCAAGCCCACCUUUCCGAUGACUCUCAGCAUCAUAACCCCCUGUUCUGUAGUCUGUGCACGAACCUUCUGAGAGUUCCUCUAGUGCGACCUGCUCCCUCCGCCCAGGACGCCCCCUCACCUGGUGAAAUCCUAUUCAGCCUUCAGGUCUCAGGGCAAGCAGGGCUU